AUUGAACGCUGGCGGCAUGCCUAACACAUGCAAGUCGAGCGGAUAAACGGGGCUUUUUCUUGUCUUCAGCUGCCGGCGGGCGGGUAAUUCCUACGAAUCUGACUGGUCUUUGGGGCUGACAUCCCUUAACGAGCCCUAAUACCGCAUACGUCCUGAUGGUGAAAGUGGUGGAUCUUUAGACCUCACCCUUUUUGAUGUGCCUAAGUCGUAUUAGCUAGUUGGUUAGGUAAAGGCCUACCAAGGCGACGAUCCGUAACUGGUCUGAGAGGAUGAUCAGUCACACUGGAACUGAGACACGGUCCAGACUCCUACGGGAGGCAGCAGUAGGGAAUAUUGGACAAUGGGCGAAAGCCUGAUCGAGCAAUGCCGCGUGAAUGAAGAAGGUCUUCGGAUUGUAAAGCACUUUAAGUAGGGAAGAAGGAAAGUAAGAGAAAACAUUGAUGUCUUGACGGUACCAACAGAAUAAGCACCGGCUAACUUCGUG
rnacentral:rRNA from 1 species